CGUUCAUGUCCUCUUCAGAAGUCGAAAAUCCCCAAACCCCAUUGAGCUUGCCUAAGUUGCCUUCAUUUCCUCCGGCUCCUCUGUCAGACCUCCACCAGCAUUCAGUCCGCGUGGCAGAAAAGAUCCAUUUCCAACGCAGUCUUUCGGCUCUCCUCCGUCCGACCUCCAAUACGAGAGAUUUUGGUGAUAGACGAACUGCUCCUCCCGUUUAGGUGAAGUAUCAUUGGUGGAGCGGAGAUGAUAUAUUUUUUGGUGGAGAUGACUUUUUAGUGCAUUUUGUCUCCAUAAACAUGUAGCUAUUGUAAAUUCCAGACGACGUUGUUCUUGAGCAUUUCAAUGCUUUAUUGAUCAAGUUUGAUCCAGAUUUUUUGUAAUGAAAUUACACUGUCAUUUAAAAAUCAAUGACAAUUACUUUUCAGGUUUCAGUUUUCAA